AAAAUGAGUGUGAAUUAUGGGGGCCUGCUGAGCCUUUCAUUUCCCUCAUCUGCCACCCCAGCAGCCUCUUUCCUGGAAAUUAAGUGCAUGUUUCAUUUGCUUGCAGCAGGAAUAAGAGUUACAAGUUUGCCUGUCACUCUGCCACCAGCCGUUUCAUUUCGGCUUCCCCUCCCUCCCAGUUCCAGGGUAGCCCUUCCAAAGGGCAACCACACAGCCCUCUUCUGGAGGCUGGCUAGCAUCUGGAAGUCUUCUUCUUCUUCUUCUUUUUGGUUUUUUUUUUUUUUUUUUUGAGACGGAGUUUCGCUCUUGUUGCCCAGGCUGGAGUGGAGUGGCACUGUCUCAGCUCACUGCAACCUCCGCCUCCCAGGUUCAAGCAAUUCUCCUGCCUCAGCCUGCCAAGUAGCUGGGAUUACAGGCACCCGCCACCAUGCCUGGCUAAUUGUUUGUAUUUUUAGUAGAGAUGGGGUUUCAUCAUAUUGGCCAGGCUGGUCUCAAACUCCUGACCUCAGGUGAUCCACCCACCUUGGCCUCCCAAAGUGUUGGAAUUAGAGGCGUGAGCCACCACGCCAG
rnacentral:lncRNA from 1 species